GACGAACGCUGGCGGCGUGCCUAAUACAUGCAAGUCGAGCGGACUGAUUAAGAGCUUGCUCUUAUGACGUUAGCGGCGGACGGGUGAGUAACACGUGGGCAACCUGCUCUGUAGAUCGGGAUAACACCGAGAAAUCGGUGCUAAUACUGGGUAAUAUCUCAGAUCACAUGAUCUUAGGUUAAAAGAUGGCUUCGGCUAUCACUACAGGAUGGGCCCGCUGCGCAUUAGCUAGUUGGUAAGGUAAAGGCUUACCACGGGGACGAUGCGUAGCGGACCUGGGAGGGGGUUCGGCGACACUGGGAAUGAGAGACGGGCCAGACUCCUACGGGAGGCAGCAGUAGGGGGUCUUCCGCACUGGGCGAGAGUGUGACGGAGCACCGCCGCGUGAGUGAUGAAGGGGUUCGGGUCGUAAAGAUCUGUUGUUAGGGGAGAAAAAGUACCGAACGAACUAGGUCGGUACCUUGACGGUACCUAACCAGAAAGCCACGGCUAACUACGUG
rnacentral:rRNA from 1 species